UACGAAGGGGGCUAGCGUUGCUCGGAAUUACUGGGCGUAAAGCGCACGUAGGCGGCUUCUUAAGUCGGUGGUGAAAUCCUGGAGCUCAACUCCAGAACUGCCUUCGAUACUGGGAAGCUCGAGUCCGGGAGAGGUGAGUGGAACUGCGAGUGUAGAGGUGAAAUUCGUAGAUAUUCGCAAGAACACCAGUGGCGAAGGCGGCUUACUGGUCCGGUUCUGACGCUGAGGCGCGAAAGUGUGGGGAGCAAACAGG
rnacentral:rRNA from 1 species